CCUAUUUCUUCUUGUAAAAUUACCCCUUUUACCUGGGAUGCCCUGGGGUAGCGGGUGAUGGGGCUAGGUCUCAGUGGCUUCUGUAAGCUGCUGUCUGUUCACCUCAUGGCAGCUGACCUGGCUCCCUGUCCUAUCCCUGGCUGCCACCCAGCACAGAGGGAGUAGGGAGAUCUUCACGCUUAGGAAUUUGAAUUAUUUUUCCUCUGAUAUUGUUAUGUCACCUUUAUUUUUGUUAAUAUUUCUCUGCUACAGUUUUUCUAAUUUAUUAUUUCCAACUUUUGCC
rnacentral:lncRNA from 1 species